rnacentral:rRNA from 1 species
UACGUAGGGACCAAGCGUUGUUCGGAUUUACUGGGCGUAAAGGGCGCGUGAGGCGCUUGUCAAGUCACUUGUGAAAUCUCUGGGCUUAACCCAGAACGGCCAAGUGAAACUGACAUGCUAGAGUGCAGAAGGGGCAAUCGGAAUUCUUGGUGUAGCGGUGAAAUGCGUAGAUAUCAAGAGGAAUACCUGAGGUGAAGACGGGUUGCUGGGCUGACACUGACGCUGAGGCGCGAAAGCCAGGGGAGCAAACGGG